GUCGACGGCAGCACGGGAGCAAUCCUGGUGGCGAGUGGCGAACGGGUGAGUAAUAUAUCGGAACGUGCCCAGUCGUGGGGGAUAACGCAGCGAAAGCUGUGCUAAUACCGCAUACGAUCUACGGAUGAAAGCGGGGGAUCGCAAGACCUCGCGCGAUUGGAGCGGCCGAUAUCAGAUUAGCUAGUUGGUGGGGUAAAGGCCCACCAAGGCGACGAUCUGUAGCUGGUCUGAGAGGACGACCAGCCACACUGGAACUGAGACACGGUCCAGACUCCUACGGGAGGCAGCAGUGGGGAAUUUUGGACAAUGGGCGCAAGCCUGAUCCAGCAAUGCCGCGUGCAGGAUGAAGGCCUUCGGGUUGUAAACUGCUUUUGUACGGAACGAAACGGUCUCUUCUAAUAAAGGAGGCUAAUGACGGUACCGUAAGAAUAAGCACCGGCUAACUACGUGCCAGCAGCCGCGGUAAUACGUAGGGUGCGAGCGUUAAUCGGAAUUACUGGGCGUAAAGCGUGCGCAGGCGGUUAUAUAAGACAGAUGUGAAAUCCCCGGGCUCAACCUGGGACCUGCAUUUGUGACUGUAUAGCUAGAGUACGGUAGAGGGGGAUGGAAUUCCGCGUGUAGCAGUGAAAUGCGUAGAUAUGCGGAGGAACACCGAUGGCGAAGGCAAUCCCCUGGACCUGUACUGACGCUCAUGCACGAAAGCGUGGGGAGCAAACAGGAUUAAAUACCCUGGUAGUCCACGCCCUAAACGAUGUCAACUGGUUGUUGGGUCUUCNCUGACUCANUACCGAAGCUAACGCGUGAAGUUGACCGCCUGGGGAGUACGGCCGCANGNUGAACUCAAGNAUUGACGGGGACCCC
rnacentral:rRNA from 1 species